rnacentral:rRNA from 1 species
CCUACGGGAGGCAGCAGUGAGGAAUAUUUGUCAAUGGGCGCGAGCCUGAACCAGCCAAUUAGCUUGAAGGAUGACUGCCCUACGGGUUGUACACUUCUUUUAUAAAGAAAUAAAGUGAGGCACGUGUGCCUUUUUGUAUGUAGUUUAUGAAUAAGGAUCGGCUAACGCCGUGCAAGCAGCUGCGUUAAUACGGAGGAUCCGAGCGUUAUCCGGAUUUAUUGGGUUGAAAGGGCGCGUAGAUGGGUUGUUAAGUCAGUUGUGAAAGUUUGCGGCUCAACCGUAAAAUUGCAAUUGAUACUGGCAGUCUUGAGUAUAGUUGAGGUAGGCGGAAUUCGUGGUGUAGCGGUGAAAUGCUUAGAUAUCACGAAGAACUCCGAUUGCGAAGGCAGCUUACUAAACUGCCACUGACAUUGAUGCUCGAAAGUGUGGGUAUCAAACAGGAUUAGAUACCCUUGUAGUC